GAAUGCAUACCUGUUUUCAGUGAAGACCAUGAAAAAUCAUGUUCUGGCCAUCAUGACCAUCAUCAUGAACAACAACAUGGCAGUUCUGUCAGUUCUAAAGAUCACAAUUGCGGAAGCAAAGAGUGCCAUGAUCACCAACAUGAUCAGCAUGACCACCAUGGCCAUAGUAAGCAUGACAGCCACGUUCAUAGCCACCACCAUGACCAACAUGAUCAUGCCCACCAACAUCAUCACCAUGACCAUGCCCACCAGCAUGAACAUCAUGACCAUGCCCACCAGCACGAACACCAUGACCAUGCCCACCUGCACGAACACCAUGACCAUGCCCACCAGCACGAACACCAUGACCAUGCCCACCAGCACGAACACCAUGACCACGCCCACACUCAUGGAAGCUUACCCCAUCAAGUGGCGGAAUCUCACAUUCAAGAAGCAGGUUUCCAUAGCCAUAAACAGCCAAUUGAUGGAGAAAAAUCAGCUAAGCAUCAACAUCGCCACAUUGACCACAACAUGGAAGGAAUAUUUUUGCACGU
rnacentral:lncRNA from 1 species